CCUCCCCACCGCCCAUCACGACCGCCACCACGGGAGCGAGGGACGUAGGUCUGCACUGUUCACAAGACCGAAGACGAGGUGUGGGCACGACCGGGUCUGGAAGAGAACUGAACGUAGGGCCAGAGCACAAGAAGGGGCGGGGCAGAGAGUACAACGGCGAAUGCGAGCGCGCGUCACUUCGCGCCGCGCCGUAGGAAGAGCGCAUGCGUCGAGGCGUCUCGGCCGGUCGCGGUUGUUGACGCUUGGCCGGCCUGGCGGGGUGGGACUUGGGCACGGCCUGGCGGGGUGGGUUAGCUUGGCCCCUGGCCCGCCUUAGGUCGCUUAGCAACCGCCGGCGGAAGGGUUGCUGCCAAAGGCUCAAGCAGCUACGCUCUCCGGUUGUGGGUCGUCUCGGCGAGAAACAAUUCAGGAAGCCCCGAGGCCCGUGUUAACCGUUCCUGUGCUGACAGCUCUGUAGCAGAACCAAAGGGAAGUUUUAUUUUGUUCAUCGCUUCCUUUUUCUCGCUGCUUCUCUCGCCCAGGCAGGACGUUUCCUUGGGUCCGAAAAGAGAAAGAAAAGGGCUGGAAACCCAGGGAACAGCCCUGAUGCUGCGCUUGAAGUCUGAAUGCCCGAAGCUGGCAGAAUUCCUCCUGGAUCAGGGUUUUCCAGUGUCUCAGCAAGAAGUUCCCUCCUCUCCUGUGGGGUCACCAUCUCCCGGUACUCAAGUCGCCAUCAGUCAGCUUGCCCUACUUUUCCAUGAGACAUCACUGAGGACCCGUGUAAUGCCACAUGUUUGAACAACUUAUGUAGGCACUCCAGAGAAAAUCCAAGGGAAAAGAGGAGUGAGGAAGAAUUCCCUUAUAAAUAAAUUAAAAAGAAAUUAGCAUCUACGUUUAUGACUGACUGGAUGACCCAACUCUUCUGAUCCUCUCGUUCAACAAACCUGCAGAUUUCUUUAUCGGGGUGGAGUUGAGGAAGUUUUAAAAGUGGGCCAAAGCCACAUGGGAACACGGGUCAUAAGUGCAAGGGUCUUCCAUAAAUUGAGCACGGCUGAAGGCUUAAAGGAGGUAAUGUAGAAGUUACCAAACUCCUCCUUUGAGCCCUGGUCUCCUGGUUACACAACUGGCUGAGCCACUUUCCAAAAAGACCCAAACACACUGGCUUUAACAAGACAGGCCUCUGUUUCCCUUUCAGGUGAUAGUAUAAUGGGGGGUGGGGGUGGUCCCGAGCAACAGUUGCUCUGCUCCACAAGGUCACUGGGCAAUGACGCUGACAUACCGGCUUUACACCGUCCACACCUGGAAUCUACCUGUGGGUUCAAGAUGCCAUUCCAGCUGUCCCCUUUCCCAGCCAGGCGGAAGAAGGCAAAGCAAGCAGAGGACUAAGAGCUUUCUUUUCAGGGAAUCCCCUGAGAGCUGCCCUUUUACUUGUGCUCACAUCCCAUUGGCCAGAAGCUUGAGGGAAGCCGGAACAUGAGCCGCCCAAACUCUGCUGGGGAGCGGAUGGGGUCUGACUGCGAAGUGGAAGAAGGUGAGACUGCGUGCCUUGGCGUAGCCAGUGGUUUCUCUCUUCCCUGGUUCUGUGGAGGUGAUUCGGCCCCCUCUGGAGAGUCUGUUAGACCCCGUGGGCAACCCCCACUUCCCCACCCUACUGAAGAAGCUCUACUUUCAUCUGUUUGAGAGUAUGAUCUAAAUUUCUAUCUGAAAAAAACGGGUUUCUACACAUUAGCAAGUCUGAAGACCAUUUUAGAGAUUAGUGUGCCAGCGCGGAAGGGGAAGCUCCAAUCAGUGGGGCACUUGCUACACCUUGGAGCUGGUCGUCACCAUCUGACUAGCAGAACCUGAGCUAAGGGGGUCGGUAACCGACUGGAGCCAGGCUGCGCCGCCUCACACAUGAAGCUCAUUUGCUUUCCCACCCGAUCCGCCUUCCACAUUCAGACCAAACAGUUUCCAAUCUCAGGAGAAAAUAAGAAUCCCAACGUUGAAAAAUCCCAUCUGACUUUGCGUGCGGUCACGGAGGGUGGUGAGCAGAACCAGGGACGUGGAAAGGUACACGUGCAGGAUUAGGCCAUCUGGAUUUGCUCACUGGUGCUGAUGGGAGCUAGGCUCCCACCCUCCUGCAGAGACUGGGAGACAGGGGCCUUUUCCUCAUGUGUUGGCUGGAAUAAACGAAAUUCUUCUGGCAGCUUGAAGCUUUCCCACACAGGAACUUCAGGGGGCUGGAGGAGACAGCCCAGGGACAUGCCAUGACCUGUUAGACACUAUGCUAGUGUUUCUUCCCGUCUCUUAACGCAGGGUUUGGAUGAAGGGGUUAUGUGCCAAGAGUUCUUCUGCAGGGCUCACAGCCCACCGCACUUCCGUAUCUGGGAUCUUUGUGGGUCGGCCCCAGUACAGCACGGCCCUUAGAACAGGGAGACGGAAUCAGACCCAGGGCUUCGCAUCCCUGCCUUGUCCCAAGCGCCUCGGCUGGGAUGGAAAUCUUUUCCUGCACAAGCUGGGAGAAGAGGAGCCUUGGUUCCAUCACCCAUCUUCUUGGUCGUCCUCACAGUUUUACAAAUUAGAAUAGGCCUGUAGUCAUAACCCAGGCCCCCAAGCUUCCUAGAGCAGCCGAGCAGGGCGCAGGACCCCAGGUCACACUUCCUGAGGUGCCUGACUGCUUUGGCUGGGUUGUGGGUUUGAACUCCGACUGCAGAGCACGGCCAGUGGGGCCUGGCUGGCCACAGAGCUUUGCAAAGGCCACAAUCCAGGCUGUCUUCGGAGCUCUAGCCUCCUGCCUAGUACACCGCGCUCCCCAAGUCUUCUCCAUACCCCUCCUCCAACCCCUGCCCUGUCCCCAGAGCACUUUCCUUCUCCCUUUUACACAGGUCCUUGACCCACCCCAGUUACCACGUGUAUUUGCUGGUGCCUUAUAAGUUCAGCCUUUCUUUCUUUUCUUUCUUUCUUUCUCGCAUUCCCUUUUUUUUUUUUUUUUUUUUUUUUUUUUUUUUUUUUUUUUUUUUAGUUACAAGCAACUAGUUACAGGCUCUUUAUUUUCUAGCAGUGUGCCUGCCUGUAACUUUCUUCUUCCUUUGCUCGGUUCAUGCCUUCUCAGCUUCAGCCAUCAGCUGGAACACUGUGCCUCUUCAUUGUACCUUUCCCUGAGCCCCCAGACCAGGUCAAUCUGUGCUCCCUCCCAUCUCCAGACGUGUAUCAAAGUGAGGCCCCAGCUCCUGAAGUCUGAUAGUGGAAAGAGGCAGAGGAACAGAGAAGCAGUUUGCUGGUGCAGCAGAGUGAAGGCAAGGCUGACUCAACCCCGGGAGCAAGGCCAGCAUGUUUGAAAGCAGAAGCUAAAGUGCCAGUGGAGAGGAGAAAGUUGAGGAAGGUGGUGAGGGCAGCAGAGCUGGAGAAGGAGCCCUGGUUUAAAAAAAGCAACGAGAAAAAGGAAAGUAUGUCCAUCGAGACAAAAGAAGCAGGCAUCGCAGGCAUUCCUAGUGCACCUGCCCUGUACCUGUUGCUCAAUAAAUGUUUGAAGGGAGGAGGUGAAAAACUGUGGUUGCCUAUUUCAGAGGACCUCAGUCUUCUUAGGGAAGUAGGAGGUUUAGGUCUUAUGAAAUGUGGGCAUUAGGAGUCAAGGGCCUCUGAAGAAAUAUUCUAAUUUGUUUAUGUAUUAGUUAGGAUUGACUGACCACUGAAGGAUCAACUACUAUAACAAGUAGAGCCGGGGCGCCUGGGUGGCACAGCGGUUAAGCGUCUGCCUUCGGCUCAGGGCGUGAUCCUGAUGUUAUGGGAUCAAGCCCCACAUCAGGCUCUUCUGUUAUGAGCCUGCUUCUUCCUCUCCCACUCCCCCUGCUUAUGUUCCCUCUCUCGCUGGCUGUCUGUAUCUCUGUCGAAUAAAUAAAAAUAAAAUCUUAAAAAAAAAAAAACAAGUAGAGCCAAAAUGCAAGGCUCUACAAUGUAGUCUCUGUGCUAUAGAAUUUUAAUUUUUGCUCACUUGAUAGCCCAGGAUGGGUGUUCAGGUCGGUGACUACCCAGGCUCCACAUCCUCAAGGGCCCAAGAAAGCAGAAAGAACAGGAGAAGCAUGUAAAGGAGGUUCUCGCAGGCCUGGUAUGGAAAGAACACACACUCCCACUCACAUUCCUUUUGAGAGACCUCACCCAUUUGCAAAAACGACUGGAAAAUGUGGUGUAGCUCUGUGCCCCUAGAAGGGAAGAACAGAGCUUGGUAGCCGGCUAGAGGUCUUCACUAUGGUAGGCAGGGUGACGGACCCCAAAGAUGUCCUCGUCCUCGGAAUCUGUGAAUAUAUUGCCUCAUGGGGCAAAAGGGAUUUGCAGAUGUUUGGGAUCCUGAAAUGAGGAUGUUAUUCUGGAUUAUCCCAGAAUUGAUGCAGCGUGAGAAAGACUUUGUCUGGCCAUUGUUGGCUUUGAAGAUGGAAGGGGCCAUAGGAGCAGGUUGCAGACGUCCUGUAGAAGCUGGGAAAGACAAGGAAUGGACUCUCCUCACAGCUUCCGGAAAGAAUGCAGCUUCUGCCGACAUCUUGAUUUUAGGCCAAAGACACCCAUUUUGAACUUCUGGUCUCCAGAAUGCUAAGAUAAUAAAUUUGUGUUGUUUUAAGCCACCAAAUUGUGGCAAUGGGCAACUAAUAAACCACACUUAGUAAUUCCUUUGUAAAAACAUGACCUAUUGGUAGUAUGAAGCAUUAUUUUAAAUUCUAAGAAGAUUGGACUACGUCUUCACCUUCCACCUUGUGCACAAGCCUGCCGACGGCCUCAUGAGCAAUCGGGGACCCAUCAGGCUGGUGGACUUCAAUGUGGACAGGUCCCUGGACCAACAGAAUCGGCCUCACCUGAGCAUUUUCUGCAGCUUCGUAGCCACUCCCUAAAUCAGGAGCUCUGGGGCCCAGUCGUCUGUGUAUUAACGAGCCCACCACAUGAUUCUGACACUUGGGCAAGCUUGAGAACCACUGUUCUAGGACGGGAGCACUGUUCUCGAUUGAAGGAGACCAAAAAGAUGCAGAAACUAAAUUAGCAAUGCACAAGUCUGAACUGAAUAGUUUUAUUCCUGGAACAUUCUUGGGACAUUCCUGGGACAAUUAAAGAAACCUGGAUGGGGUCAGAGCAUUGGAUGGUAGUACUGAGUCAAUGUUAAGUUUCUGAUUUUGAUGAUUUUAUGGUGGUGAGGUAGAAGAUCCUUGCUUGUAGGAAAUAGACACUAAACGUAUUCAAAGGUGAUGGGGUGCCUUGUCAGCAACUUAGUUUUCAAAUGGUUUGGGAAGAAUAGAAGUUUUAUACUGUACUUUCCAUUUUCCUUUGAGACAGUUUCGAGAAAAAAAACAGUAGAUACCAUUUUUCAAAUAUCAGCUUGUCAAAGGUGAAAAAUGUCGACAAUGCCUAGUGUUAGUGAAGGUGUGGGGAAAUAAAAAGUUCUAUGCACUACUGUUGGAAGUAGAAGUUGUUGCAGGAUUUUUGGAUAGCAAGUUUACACUAUCAAAAAUUUAAGGCAAAUUUUGACUCAACAAUUCUGUCUUUAGAAAUGUAACCUUUAAAUAUAACCAAUGAUGUUGUAUGGUGAUAUACAACAUCACCAGUGUUGUAUGGUGAUACUGGUGGUAAGCAUAUCAUAAGGUAUAAACUUGUCAAAUCAUUAUGUGGUACUCCUCAAACUAAUAUAACAUUGUGUGUCAACUAUACUCAGAUAAAAAAAACAUUUUGAAGGCCCCCCAAAAAUUAAUUUUUAUGAUUCUAAAAAAAAAAAGAAAGAAACGUAUCCUUCAGAUAAAUUUCUGUGAGAGAAAAUAUAUUUUAUUGCAAAACUGCUUAUACUAGCAAAAAAACUGGAAACAACUCAAAUGUUUAUCAGUAGGGACUGGUUAAGUUAUGGUAUAACUAUACAGUAAGUUAUGAGGAAGCCCUUAGAAAGAAUGCAAAAGAUGUCAAUGUCCUUUCACAGAGAGGAGAACAACCACAUAAAUGCAUGUACGGUAAGCUUCCUUUCUGUGAAAAAUCUAAAGCAAAUGUUUGGAAGCAAAACUGUCCCCUUUGAACAGUGCAAAGUGCUACCUCAAGUACACUUCCCCUUCUUAUGGGCUCCCUGGUGCUGCUGGGUCUGGUUCCACCAGUGAGAGCCUCUUCUCUGUACAAAUUCUUGAAAGUAUAAAUGCACAGAUUAUUGGUUUGGAUU